UACAGAGGGUGCGAGCGUUAAUCGGAAUUACUGGGCGUAAAGCGCGCGUAGGCGGCUUUGCAAGUCGGGUGUGAAAUCCCCAGGCUUAACCUGGGAACUGCAUUCGAGACUGCAUUGCUAGAGUAUGGGAGAGGGAAGUGGAAUUUCCGGUGUAGCGGUGAAAUGCGUAGAUAUCGGGAGGAACAUCGAUGGCGAAAGCAACCGUCUGGGCCUGAACUGACACUGAGACACGAAAGCGUGGGGAGCAAACAGG
rnacentral:rRNA from 1 species